AUAAAAUGUUAUCAAAGAAAAGUUAAAACAAUAAGCAAAUUUUUGUUUUAACUUAUAUUAAUAUUUUUGAAAUAUCAAAUUGUUAGAAUUCAGAAUAUAUUUUGAGUAAAUUUAAUGCUUAUAGUGAAUUCAUCAAAUAUUCGAAACAAAUAAUAUUUAUUUAAUUCAAAUUUAGAGUACGUAUUUAAAUAUCCAGAAAUUUAUUUUAAAUAUUAUUUAUUUAAAGUAAUGUGUGCAUUUUAAGAAAUAUUAUCAAGAAAAUAUAAUGAUAUUUUUCUGCAUGUAUUUUUACUUAAUACUAAGUUAUUUAGAUGAGUCUGUUCACUUCAUUUCCAGUUUUAGAAUUCAUGCAAUUUGUCGCGUAACGUUAUAAAAAGUUACACAGGCACAAUUGAAUUUCAAAUAAGAUUCUUAACAUACAGUUAUAAGUCAAUGUAUAAAUACAAAAAUUCGCACGUUAUAUCGUAAUUUUUGUAGUAUCAGAUCUUGUUCAAGUGAGAAAUGCUUCUUAAAGAACAAUUAAUUUUUUCAUAUCAUGUAGCAUUUCUUUGUGACAUUUCAUAGAAUAUUUGCUCUAAUUUAAUAAAUAAAUUUCCUGAGAAUUUUCGGAUUUUUUGGGAGUUUACUUAAAAUUCCUGGUAAAAUUAUAGAAUUUUUUAAUAUAAAAUGAAAUUAAUUUAUUUUAUACUUUUUAAUGUUCCUUAAUCACAAAGAAAAGCCAUGUGAGUUUUUAAUAUUAAAUUAGGAAAGGUAAUAGGAAGAAAUAAUAUAAAUUAAAUUUGACAUAUAACGAUUUGUCCAGAAAUUUAAUUCAUUGCGAAAGGAAAUUAAAUACACAAAGCUAAUUUAGAACAAUAUAGUAUUUUCUAUUAUCAUCAAUUUUUUAAUAUAUAAAAAUUUUAUUUAAUAUAUAAAAACAAGAUAGAAUGUAUACAUAGAUGCGUUUGCCACAUGUAAUGUUAACCGAUUUUGUUAUAAAAAAAAAAUUAUUAAAUAAACUCUUGUGUCAGGGAAAGAAAUUAAAUUUAAAAAAAUGUUUUUUUAAUCUUUAAAAAAAGUUUCUCAAAAGUUUCCCUAGGUAUUAAUAAAAUCCCAUAAAAAUCCAUGAUUUUCAAGAGUAAAAAAUAAAUUCCUCGAAAAUGCGCCAGAUUUUCGUGUUUCUUUCUCAUGGUAAAUACCUUGGUAAUCGCAAUGUUUCAAUCGCAUUAAUGUUGCAGUAUCUUUUCCAGCAUGACUAACGUAAGCGCAUUUGUGCGGGACUAGGUAACUGUACGCGAGAUUUGCAUUUGCGGACUUUCCUUUCUGCUUUCGCGGAUUUCGCAUAUGUAGAAGCCAUACGUAGAAUAACACUGGGGCGAUGUUAGCGAGAUUAUAUUGGGUGUCCUCAUAUUUAUCUGACCCGUUUAUUCGUUCAGAACAAAGACCGCGACGACGAUUGGGCGAAGGGAAAGGGCAGGGAGGGGAGGGGGAGGGGCAGAGAUUUCGGAGCAAAUAUCUAAUUCCGCUGAGACGCCAACUGCGUCUCGAUCGACCGAGGUUGCCGCGGACAAACAUUCGCGCACGCGAGCGUGUAAACGGCAGAAGUGUAGUCGGAUCUGCCUUUCGAGUUUGCGCUUCGCGCGAGGCGGCGCCGCCGCGCCGCCGCCGCCCGUUCGUCUCGAUGUCGGGGUAAUUGUCCGAGGCAUUAUUCAGUGUAUACACAUUGUCUAGCUGAUGGAAUUCACGAGAGGCGGUCUCUCAAGUCGACCGUUCUCAGGCAUUCUCGAGAACACCGGCGAAUUCCUCGUAAAAUACGCACGCCGCGCGCCGUUGCGUUAUACGGGGAACAACGAGAUUACCUAUAUUCGCGCCGUAACGCACUCGGAUGUCAACCGAAAUUGCGAGAUUGGGAUAAAAGUAUCGAGGGAUAUUCUACUGUUUUAGCUUGUUGUGAAAUACAUUGGAUCCUUAAUGUAAUAAGUACCACACGUCAAAGCUUCGCCGCGAAAUAGAGCAUUAUUAUGACAGGAUGUGUCGCUAUAAACCACAGGGGGCAAUCUUCACGUCGUCCAAUUUCCCGCGGACAAACAACACCGGCCCGUCCUCGCCACAAACGUCACCGCCCAUGCCAUUUCGUAAAACGCAAAACAAUACGAGGGGAGGAACGGCGAAAUUUCCAUCACGAGGGAUCGAUCGACCGGGUGGAAAAUGGGCGACCCCGACGUCGUUACGUCGGCAACUUCGUUCAAGCGUUUAUCUAUGGAACGCGUUGCAGGGAUAUCUUUAGUGCGCGAUCGCCUUCGAAAUGCAUUCCACGGAAUGUACUAUAAUAUUAUCGUCAAGACCAAGUCGUUCGAGGAUGUGAAUGUUUUUUAUAACUUUGAUAAUAGUUUUUUAUUAUGAAGAUAUAAUAUAAAUAUCUCACAAAAGGAUCUCGUAUUCAAUUUAUUUCUGUGUUUAUAGUAAAGAAUCAAAGUUUUUACAAAGAAUUUAUAAGGAGCUUUUCUGACGUCUUACAUUGUUUGAAUAAUAGUCGGGCAAAAUCGUGAUUAAAAAAGGUUGAAAAACGAUUAAAGCAAAAUUGCAACGAUACCACUAUAUUCUUACGACAAAACAACGACUUUAUAAGAAUUAGAAUAUCGGCACAAAUUCGUCAAAAAAUUAUUUAUCUAAAAUUGACGAUUCCUGCUCUAGAUAAAAAAAGAUCGUGGAUUUUGUUUGCAAAUAUGCUCCCACGUUUAAAUAAAUGCGGAACGUGAUCAAACUAUGAUGCCACGGAUAUUUGUUAAUCCAAUAGUAUAUCAACCGUGCCUAAAAAAAUUCGUAUACGCGUUAAAUUUGCACUCGCUUACGUUCUGUAGUUGUUUUUAUUUACUAUCAGAGGAAACAAUUUCUGUUGGCUCGUUGUUUUAUAGGUUGCAAGUUAAUUCUAUAGACUAUGGGACAUCUUUUUUAUUAAAAGUGAAAGAACCCUUUCAACUGAAUUAUCUUGCGCGCUUUUACACGGUUAGUGAAAAUUGCUACAAAAAUGGAAAGCGCAUUCAAGCGUAUCCUUGACAAUUUUUAGAGACGUAGCUAUUUUUCAGAAUAUCUUCUGUAAGAAGAUUCUAGAUUUUUAGUGAUUUUUAAUGCAAAUAAUUUAUUACCAAAUUGUUUUUGCAUUUCAAAGCAUACAAACAUUAUUUCUUACAUGGUCUCAAAUAACUUGGAGAUAGAUUUUUUUUUGCUCAACUUUUGUCUAUUUUUGCUAUUUUUUCUAUUUUUCUAUUUUUUCUUUCUUUUCUAUUUUUUAUCUUUAAAGGUUUAUAACGGUGAAAAUUCGCUAAACUUUGAUUCUUUACUAUAAGCACAGAAAUAAAUUGAAUACGAGAUCCUUUUGUGAGAUAUUUAUAUUAUAUCUUCAUAAUAAAAAACUAUUAUCAAAGUUAUAAAACACUCACAUACGAAUCUGCUGUAGCUGAAUCUAUUACGGUUAUGUAAAUCGCAGUUUUGCAGUGAUUGCGUAUUACAUUAUGUUUGGAAAAUUCACUCAUAAACUAAAUUAAAAUUUAAAAAAUCCGGUAUAUAAUAGUUAAAUAAAAACGCGACAAAAAUAAAAAUAGAAAUAAAGUGUUUUUUAUUGAUAUAACAUGUAAAUAAAUAACAAUAUAAAGUUGUUUUAAUUCUAUAAAACAUUUAAUACUUUCUAAUUAAUAAAAGACCCUCUCGAUAUAUUAUUUCGUUUUCAAAUUAUCCUUACAAAAUUACAAAUUUACUUAGCGCGAUGAGUUAUACUGUAGCAACUUCAUAUACAUAUAUUGUUAUAUAACUUUGAAAAGUUUUUUAAUAUUAAUAUAGUAUAAAUACAAAAAGAUUAUAUUUAAUUUAUAUUUAAUUUAUUAAUAAGUUUAUAUUAAUAAAUCUUAAAGAUUGCCGAGUUUUUCGCCAAUACAAAUCUUCUUAUUCCUUUCCCCUUCUUAUUCCCCCUCUCUUAAGAAAUUAAAUAUGCAAUUCUGCCGGAAACUGAUAAACAGAGCAGUUUGAUGAUAUACGAGAAAAAUGUAUAACUGUCGAAAGGUUAAAUCAACGACGCGCAAAGAUAUUUAUGACGUAAUCGCAGGGAGUGCGCGCGUGGGAAGGAAACGGAUUUUAGUGACCCAGUUUGCAAGUGCAGCCGGUGCCGCCGCCGCGCUGCAGCAUCCUUGGCUGCGGAUGCGAACUUUUUGCCCGUAUCGGAGCAAGGGCGCGGUGGGUGAAGGUCAAGGGCGAAAAAUACGUAAAUCCUGGGACCGGACCGAGUAUUUCUCGAAAGGAGAGAAGGAAGGAAAGAAGGAAGCGACGGAAGGCGGAACGAGCGGAGCGUGCCUCUCUGGGACGAGAAAACAGCGGUUGGAUCGUAUCGAGAGAACGAUUACCGCCGGAUGGUGCGCGUACUGGUAAAGCAUGCCGCUCCUUCGGCAAACAUAAGAAAAGUACACCGGAAAAUGAUGAAAUGAUACCCUUGUGGAAUUUAUUUCACGCCGCGUGCCUCAAUGCAAGAGACAUUACUCGAAGGAUGUGAAGUACAGAUAGCCUACACGGUCAAUAGAUUGCUGGAGUCUAAAUGUGUGUGAAAUAUGGAGUUAUGGAUACUCUUUUUUUCUUAAUGCAAAAUUUUCUAGUAAAAAUAAUUUAAAGAUACAUAAAAAUAUUUUUUUUAAUAUUAUAUAUAUAUAAAAUUUAAAAUAUUUCUACGUAUUUGUGUACAGUAAUGUUGUAUUACCAUUUUACAAUUGUAUUUGUAUAAAAUUAAUUUUUAUACGAAACUUUUUAAAACACUUCUCGUUUUUUAAUUGUAUUAAAGAGUUGUUUCUCUUAAAGACAAAGAUGUGUUCAAGUUCUCGUAUAUACAAAUAUCGUUAUAAAUAUCUUUUGUCAGGAAUCUCCAAAGAUUCCUGACAAAAAACACGAGCAUGGUGAUCGCGUGCACGCGUAUCGCGCAUAUAAAACCCAUCCAAUUAGCGAUACGGUAAAAUUACGGCGUUAAUGCCGUUGCAACGAAGAUAAGAGCUAGCUGCGGUAGUUGUGCAAUUUUCGCAUCACCGUUGCGCUUUUCCCGCUUUCCAGAUUGGUCGAGGUUUUCAUCUCGUGGCCGGGUCACUAUCGGAUGCAAAAUAUUGCGACCCGCGGGCGAAAACGAGCCGCAGCUGCGCCCGCGGAGAUCGUCGCUCGUCGCCACACAAAGGCGACGGCAAAGAAACUGCUCUUCAUCGCGAAUACAUGUACCUUUGGGAAAACAGCGUUUUCACUUCUCGCCGAUAACACCCGCAUGUGAUAUCGACUUCCGCGACAAACGCUCCUGAAUACGGUGCCGCACGAGAUGGCAAGUCGCCCAUUCGAUAUAACGUGCAUACCGAUAUUAUACAUUUAUUCUGUAACAUCCAUUCGCUUUUUGCUGUCAUUUAUUACUUAUUUGACCUAUUGAUGUUCUGCUAUACUAUUAAAUACGAAUAAGAUUCGUCUAACUAAAAUUUCAUAAUAUUAAGAGAUUUUUUGAUACAACAUUAAAAAUUUUACUCGGAAAUCUUAACUUUUUUAAGCAUCUUUGUAAUUAUUCGCAGAUGUUAUUGUAAUUAAUUUAAUAAUUUCGGAAAGAAUUAGUGGUACAUUUUUAUGCGAAAGAAAUGUAUCCAGUUAUCAGCGCAUAAACCAGAAUACAAAGAGGAUAAAAAGCAGUUGGCAAUGCGCCCAAAAAAGUGAAUCCCGAUAUCGAGCAUAUACGUCACGAGCACGAGAGUUUUGUUUUUUUUCGCGGGUUAUCACUGAUUUUUUUCUUUGAUAGGCGGUCGCCGAAGCACAAUGAACUGUCCAAACUGUCCCAGGUCUCUUGUUUUUACGAGCGACCAAAAUGAGAAAUUUAUGCGUUUUACACCAAAACAGACAAGUCCCUGGUGACACUUUUAAAAAAGCGAGAUUCACGUUUAUAUCUGUGAAAAUACGGCUGCUGUGUGCAAAACGCGCGCAUCGCAAAAAAACUUUGUAAAAUACGCAAACAUCAUGAAAUAAUAAAUUCACUGUUAAAAAUGAUAUGUAAAGUCAAAUAUCAUUAUUGCUAAUUUCCUAUGAUACUUUUGCUAUAUGUCAUGCUUAUUUCAUAUCACGUACCAUCAUCGUAGAGAUGGCGUAAUUUGAUAGUUCGAAUGUUGAGCAAAAAAAAAAGCACAAGCAAUAUUGUGUAAUUUUAUUCAUUAUCUAAAAAAAAAAUAUAUAUAUAUAAUACAUUCAUUUUGAAUAAUAUGUAUAUAGAAUUAUUAUUUUUUUAAACAUUCUUUAUAAUUGUAUAUUUAUAAAAGUUGUGAUAUUGCUGAUGGAUGUGAUGGAUAAUAUAACAUUAUUAAAUAAAACAUUAAUAAAACUAUAUAUACAAUAAUUACUACAAAAAAUAAGAUAAAAAUAGGAAACAAACGAGUUAAAAAAAUAGAGAAAAUAACUGAUACAAAAAAUUUACAUUAAAAAACUCAUUCCUAAAAAUUAAAAGUAUAAUAUCUGCUUUAAGUACACAUUGCAUAAUAUGAUGAAAAAUUUUGAUUAUAUGUAUAUCAUUAGAAUACAUAAUGUAAUACGUUCAUAUUAAUAAUAUAUUAAUUUUUUAAAUAUUAAUAAAUUCAUCAUGUACAAUGAAAACAAAUGGCGCAUUCAUUGCUGUGUUUCAUAAAUUUUUUCGGCUUGUCAUUUGCAUAACGCGAGAAAAAAUCAUAACAGGUACGUUCCGCAAGUUACGGGCGGCGCUUGCUGUCGCUAUGACAGAUUUUAAUAGGCAUGACAUUAUUAUAUUUCUAAAAUAUUUCAAGCUAAUUUAUUACCGAAUCGCUGAAUCCUAUCGCUGAAAAAUGCGAUCUUUUUGUGAAGUUUACACGGAAUGCGUUAGAUUUACACGCGAAAUAAGUAUGCCGUUUUAAAUCAGUCGAUUUCAUCGCAACAUUUCGUAUUACGAUAACUGACAUACGCAAACAUCUGAAGGAAACGGCCAUGGAACAUCGUGACCUUACUAACGAGUUGUGAAUCUGUGACGUAACAUAUAUCUCGCAAGGCCAAUCUGAGCCGUAUAAUUGACUCUUGACUUCGUGUUAAUUGCGCGCAUUUUUUCCCCGCUAAUCAUUGCAUACUCGCGGUGAAUAUGAAAUUAUUUGCAGAGCGCGAGUCGACAAAUCAUCAUUAACCGUCGCGAUCAAUAAAUGGAAUGCGGCACGUCCGGUGACAGAGGGAUAAAUUAUUUCCUGCGGGCUAAUUAAUCCUUAACCCGCAUAGUCAUCUGUGAUACUACACACAUCCUUCUUUUUUUUCUUUUACCGUUAAAUGUUAUUUCUAAGCAUUUGUCUUGUAUUAAGAUAGUAUCUCUUUGACAGCAUAUUACGAAUAUUAAUAAAUAUACCGUUUUCUUUUAUGGAAAUAGCAGUUAUUCAAAGAAGAUGGUAUCCGUGUCGCGAACAAUAAGGCGGGACAGACCCCUGUACUAUAAACAUACUGUUAUUUUCACAACUGCUUCGUGUCUGUAAUAAAACAAUUUUUAAAGAAUUUUAAUAAAUAAUUUGUUCAAGAAAUUUGUUCGAUCUUAGUAAAACAUUCUUAAAAUUUUAUGUGAUUAUGAUUUAAACUGAUUAUAGUUGGGGUUUAAUAAACUCUACCUUAGUAAUCUUGCUACAUAUUUUCACUUUAGCCGGCUUAAGUCUCCCAUUCAUCGUUCGUAAUUUAUGUAACAUAGUUUAGGAAAAUAAUUAGUUUCUUAUAUCGCCAAUGUAAAAAAAAAUUAACGCGUAUAUUUACGUAAAGUAAAAUGUAAGUGUAUGAUACACAGAUUGUUUCCGAAAUAGAUUAUUUUAAGAGCAUGUUCUACUCGCUGUAAGAAUGAAAAAAAAGUCAUUAUAAACGAGAAAUACUUCGUUUCCAAGUUGCAUUUUUUGCUAACAACAGACUAUUUAUUAAAGAAAUUAUUGAAAACGAUUUUUUUUUCUAUAUUGAUACGUACCUCGUGUCAAUGUCUCAUAAAUUGCUAAAGACAUUAAAAUUAUCAUAAACGAGAGACAUGUAACUAUUUGCACUUGGUUCUUGUUUGCCAUUCCAUCGAUCGACAUAAUUAUAAAGAAUUUUUUCCGUAAAAAAAACAAAAAGCGUUUACAACUCGAAAAGAGAGCGUUUCUGGAUUCAUGCCUAUACGACUUUUUUCAUCUCUACGCAGUAGAAUACGGGUCUUAGAGUUUGACAACCUAUUUCUAAAACAACCAGCGUAUGUAAAUGUAACAUAAAAAAUAAAUAUUAUAAAGAA